UUCCUCUUAGUGUAACAGGCAGCACGCGGGGCUUUGGUCCCCGAAGUCUAGGUUCGACCCCUAGAGAGGAAGCCA
rnacentral:tRNA from 3 species